rnacentral:rRNA from 1 species
GACGAACGCUGGCGGCGUGCUUAACACAUGCAAGUCGAACGGAAAGGCCCUGCUUGCAGGGUACUCGAGUGGCGAACGGGUGAGUAACACGUGGGUGAUCUGCCCUGCACUUCGGGAUAAGCCUGGGAAACUGGGUCUAAUACCGGAUAGGAGCCAUUUUUAGUGUGAUGGUUGGAAAGUUUUUUUCGGUGUAGGAUGAGCUCGCGGCCUAUCAGCUUGUUGGUGGGGUAAUGGCCUACCAAGGCGGCGACGGGUAGCCGGCCUGAGAGGGUGGACGGCCACAUUGGGACUGAGAUACGGCCCAGACUCCUACGGGAGGCAGCAGUGGGGAAGAUUGCACAAUGGGCGCAAGCCGGAUGCAGCGACGCCGCGUGGGGGAGGACGGCCUUCGGGUUGUAAACUCCUUUCGCUAGGGACGAAGCUUUUUGUGACGGUACCUAGAUAAGAAGCACCGGCUAACUACGUG